GGAGGCAUCGCAUAGUGGCCAAUUGCACAAGAUUGCUAAUCUUGAACCGUUUACGGUUUCGAGGGUUCGAAUCCCUCUGCCUCCG
rnacentral:tRNA from 1 species